GAGCCGGGGUCUGCGCGCGGCGCCUGUCAGUGGGCGUUCCUUCUUCACCAGCGGGUCACCCUCCACAUGACUGGGAGGGGCGGUGCCAGGAGGAGCUCGACUGUUUGUGGAGCCCGCGCGCACGCGGCCGUCACAGGUGAUCAUCGAGCCUCAGGUGAACUGUAAGACACACCUGAGCUUCCCUAAAGACGCAGCCGCUUCUCCACGGACCGGACAACCCAAACCCCACAGAACCCGUCCGGGUCAGCCGCUGCAUGAGCUCCUGUGACCAAGACUUUAACCAGAAACUUUACUGACAUCAGAACUGAGUCACUAAAACGACCUUCAAGCUGUUGAUGGAAAAACCUCCGGAUGAAAGUUUCUUUAACUUCACAGGAAACUCCGGUUUUUCCGUCUGAACGGAUCAGUCCUUCAAAAGUUAAAAACAGAAUCUUAGGAAAGUUAAAAAUUUGUCUUAUUUUGAGUCUCGUAAGAAAACAAUCAGACAUUUUUCUAUCCUCGUUUGAAUAUUUUCUGCUUAUUUAAAGACUUUUUUGAGACUCCUAGAGGCUUGUUUUUACAGUGUGGAUGAACUGUUUCCUUUGGAUCUGAAGUGGUAACCAUGACGAUUGUAGCAUCACUUGGACCCGUCUGAGGCUCUUCAAACCACCGUCAGGUGUUCACUUCUCUCGUUCAGGUGGAUUCUCCCGCUGAAGUGCAGCAGCGGGCCGCUCCACUUCCACGUCUUUGGCGCCGAGGCAGCAAACAGAGGAGCUCUGACGGAGAGGAUGAGGAGGUAAAGCGUCACAGUUACUGCAGCAGAAUUCAGAUCAGGAGAAACUCUCACAUCAUAUCGAGCUGCUCUGGACUGAAGCUCAAAGACUUUUGAUCUCGUAAAUAAAACACGUUCAGGUCAUGAUGAUCCUGGUUUAAGAAAUCCAGGAAAAGCAGCUCGUCUUCUGUGUUUGAUUCCCUCGUUU